rnacentral:rRNA from 1 species
UACGUAGGGAGCGAGCGUUAUCCGGAUUUAUUGGGUGUAAAGGGUGCGUAGACGGGUAAUCAAGUUAGUUGUGAAAUCCCUCGGCUCAACUGAGGAACUGCAACUAAAACUGGUUGUCUUGAGUGCAGGAGAGGUAAGUGGAAUUCCUAGUGUAGCGGUGAAAUGCGUAGAUAUUAGGAGGAACACCAGUGGCGAAGGCGACUUACUGGACUGUAACUGACGUUGAGGCACGAAAGUGUGGGGAGCAAACAGG